rnacentral:rRNA from 1 species
CAAGCAGUUCCAAAAAUAUUAGUCAAUGCUCGAAAGAGUGAACUAGCUAACUGAAAUCAAUUAUAAUAAUUGAUAACAUAAGGGAAAAUAAUGAUAUUACCUUAUUAUUAGUGUCGUCCAAAACUGGUGCCAGAAGACUCGGUAAGGCCAGAGACACAAACGUUAAUCGUCUUAAUCAGGCGUAAAGGGUUUGUAGGCAGCUUUAAAAUUAGAUUAUUAAAUUAAAUAAAUAAAAAUUAUUAAUUAAUAAUUAAAGACAAAAAGCUAGAAUCAAAAAGAGGAUAUAUUAAAGAAUGCUUAGAGUAGGUCUGAUAUCCUUAGAUACUAAGUAGAAUAUUAAAGGCGAAAGCUUUUUUCCAUUAAUGAUUGACGCUCAGAAACGAAGGUGAGGAUAGGAAAUAGGAUUAGAUACCCAAAAUACCCCUCUCUGUCAACGAUGAAUGGUAAUUAUUAGUAAAAAUUUUAUUAAUGAUAAUGUUAACACGAUAACCAUUCCGCCUUGUGAGUACAACUGCAAAGUUGAAAACAAAAAAAUUAGUCGGUUCGAGCAAACGAAGUGAAGCAUGUUAUUUAAUUCAAUAAUUCCGCA